CCAUCGUUUCCGGUCCGAAUAUAGAAGUGGAAAAAAAAAUUCGCGUUCACCAAAAGGAUUUUAAUUAGUUUUGUUGUUGCCUUUCUCUUUUAUAAAGAGUAUAGUUUCUUCAGUUAUCGAUAGUUUUCGUAGAAAUUUAUCAGACAGAGCUGCAAUAUGACUAACGUUGUAAUGGCGGAACGGAAAUUUUGGCGCUCGAAUCGCAAAUACGUUUAGCUCAUACUAUGGCCGAACAGUCGUUUUAUUUUUUUUACAUUUUACAGUGCUUUAUAAAAUUCCAUAAUACAUUGGAACUGCUUAUAAUCUAUUGAGUGAAUCAAAAAUUUAGAUUAUUAUCAUUGAAGUUAUCUAGAAUAGUCGAUCCAAUACAACAUUUCUGCUAUGCGAUGAGCUAACUUAACGCAGUGAUACAUCGAUAUAUAAAUACUAAGUUCAGCUAAGCUGUCGAAAAGUUGUCACGUUGCUAAUUAGGAACAUUACACAAGUUUUUUUUUUACAUUCUUUAUAUUUUAAAUUGUGUUGCAAAUAAAAAACGUACAAAAUGAAAAGACAUUAUCCAAGAUCAGGGACUAUGACAAAACUAAGAUCUAAUCUUGAUCAGUCAAUGAUAGACAGUAUUAUGAGUCGUAUAAGACCCUAUCUACAACUGGAAGAUGAUUUUAAUGAUGA